rnacentral:rRNA from 1 species
AUUGAACGCUGGCGGCAUGCUUUACACAUGCAAGUCGAACGGUAACAGGCCGCAAGGUGCUGACGAGUGGCGAACGGGUGAGUAAUGCAUCGGAACGUGCCCAGUCGUGGGGGAUAACUACUCGAAAAAGUAGCUAAUACCGCAUACGAUCUAUGGAUGAAAGCGGGGGACCGUAAGGCCUCGCGCGAUUGGAGCGGCCGAUGUCAGAUUAGGUAGUUGGUGGGGUAAAGGCUCACCAAGCCAACGAUCUGUAGCUGGUCUGAGAGGACGACCAGCCACACUGGGACUGAGACACGGCCCAGACUCCUACGGGAGGCAGCAGUGGGGAAUUUUGGACAAUGGGCGCAAGCCUGAUCCAGCAAUGCCGCGUGCAGGAAGAAGGCCUUCGGGUUGUAAACUGCUUUUGUACGGAACGAAACGGCUCUGGUUAAUACCCGGGGCUAAUGACGGUACCGUAAGAAUAAGCACCGGCUAACUACGUG